rnacentral:rRNA from 1 species
CAAUAGCGUAUAUUAAAGUUGUUGCGGUUAAAAAGCUCGUCGUUGGAUUUCUGUUGAGGUCGAACAGUGCCGCCCUAUGGGUGCGCAACUGGCUCGGCUUCGGCAUCUUCUUGGAGAGCGCAUCUGCACUUAACUGUGUGGAUCGUACUUCAAGUCAGUUACUUUGAGGAAUUGUGAAUGUUUCAAGCAGGCUUACGCCGUUGAAUCCGUUAGCAUGGAAUAAUAGGAUAGGACCUCGGUUCUAUUUUGUUGGUUUUGAGAGCUGGGGCAGCGAUUGAUAGGGACGGAUGGGGGCGUCCGAACUUUACUGUCAGAGGUGAAAUUCUUAGAUCGGUCAAAGGCGAACUACUGCGAACGCAUUCGCCAAGAAUGUUUUCUUUAA